rfam:Vigna angularis cultivar Jingnong 6 scaffold311_9, whole genome shotgun sequence.
AUCUGAUGGUGUGGGCAGCUUGCACAUAGCUUUUUAAAACUCACCCAGUACUCAAACAAGCUUUCUCCACCCAGUUGCUUAAUCCUAGAGAUGUCUUUUCUGAUUGU